AGAAGAAUCUGCUCAGUGUUCCG
rnacentral:siRNA from 1 species